rnacentral:lncRNA from 11 species
CUGUGAAGUUAGGAUUUAAGGAACUGAAGGCUGGUACCUGGUUAUUUGCUGCAACAACAGUUCUAGAAGCCACAACACUGGAUUCUUAAUAUCUCAUGUUUCCUGAACUCUGGGCUUACCUUGGACCUCAGCUUACGGACUCUGAUUCAAUCUUGUAUUCUGGACACUUUGGAGCUGUCCUCCCAGCUUAAAUCUUCCCCCGGAACCUGUUUACCAGCACUUACGAUGCAGGCUGUGGGAUCAUAAAUUGCCUGUUAUGAACUGAAGAUUUGGGGUUGUAAAGAACAAAUGCUGCUAAAAAAAAACAAAAACAAGCAGAUGCUGACCAAGGAAAUGAG